ensembl:misc_RNA Y_RNA Y RNA
UGUUGGUACAAGUGCAGUGAUGUUUACAACUAAUUGAUCACAACCAGUUACAGAUUCCUUUGUUCCUUCUCCACUCCCACUGCUCCACUUGACUAGCUUUAA